AAUAUUGGUCAAUGGACGCAAGUCUGAACCAGCCACGUCGCGUGAAGGAAUACGGCCCUACGGGUUGUAAACUUCUUUUGUAAGUGUAUAAAGUGUAGUAGGUGUACUAUUUUGCAUGUACCUUUCGAAUAAUGAUCGGCUAACUCCGUGUCAGCCGCCGCGGUAAUACGGAGGAUCCGAGCGUUAUCCGGAUUUAUUGGGUUUAAAGGGUGCGCAGGCGGGAGAUUAAGUCGGCGGUGAAAUUUUGCAGCUCAACUGUAAAAGUGCCUUCGAAACUGGUUUUCUUGAGUGUGGAUGAAGUAGGCGGAAUUUGUGGUGUAGCGGUGAAAUGCAUAGAUAUCACGAGGAACUCCGAUUGCGCAGGCAGCUUACUAAGCCAUAACUGACGCUCAUGCACGAAGGCGUGGGGAUCAAACAGG
rnacentral:rRNA from 1 species